UCAAACCCUUCCAAGAAGGAAGAGACCUAGAGAAACCCAGCUCAUAACUCAACCUGCAGGUGAUUCACAGGACAGGACAAUAACAUUACAUCUACAGUAUUAAACCUAGCUCAUAUCUCAACCUGCAGGUGAUUCACAGGACAGGACAAUAACAUUACAUCUAUAGUAUUAAACCCAGCUCAUAACUCAACCUGCAGGUGAUUCACAGGACAGGACAAUAACAUUACAUCUAUAGUAUUAAACCCAACUCAUAUCUCAACCUACAGGUGAUUCACAGAACAGGACAGUAACAUUACAUCUAUAGUAUUAAACCCAACUCAUAUCUCAACCUGCAGGUGAUUCACAGAACAGGACAUUGUAUUUUUUUAACCUUUAUUUAACUAGUCAAGUCAGUUAAGAACUAAUUUUUAUUUUCAAUGACAGUUAACUGCCUUAUUCAGGGGCAGAACGACAGAUUUUUUUUACCUUGUCAGCUCAGGGAUUCG